AUUGAACGCUGGCGGCAGGCCUAACACAUGCAAGUCGAACGGUAACAUUUCUAGCUUGCUAGGAGAUGACGAGUGGCGGACGGGUGAGUAAUGCCUGGGAACUUGCCUUUGCGAGGGGGAUAACCUUUGGAAACGAUGGCUAAUACCGCAUAAUGCCUACGGGCCAAAGUGGGGACUUGUUCCUCGCGCGCAGAGAGAGGCCCAGGUGAGAUUAGCUAGUUGGUGAGGUAAAGGCUCACCAAGGCGACGAUCUCUAGCUGUUCUGAGAGGACGAUCAGCCACACUGGAACUGAGACACGGUCCAG
rnacentral:rRNA from 1 species